ensembl:lncRNA
CCCACCAGGUGACUCCUCAUCAUCAGGCCUCUCCACCUCUAUAAUCCCACCAGGUGACUCCUCAUCAUCAGGCCUCUCCACCUCUAUAACCCCACCAGGUGACUCCUCAUCAUCAGGCCUCUCCACCUCUAUAAUCCCACCAGGUGACUCCUCAUCAUCUGACCUCUCCACCUCUAUAACCCCACCAGGUGACUCCUCAUCAUCAGGCCUCUCCACCUCUAUAACCCCACCAGGUGACUCAUCAUCAGGCUUCUCCAUGACUAGAACCCCACCAGGUGACUCCUCAUCAUCAGGCUUCUCCAUCACUAGAACCCCACCAGGUGACUCCUCAUCAUCAGGCUUCUCCAUCACUAGAACCCCACCAGGUGACUCCUCAUCAUCAGGCUUCUCCAUCACUAGAACCCCACCGGGAGGGGAAUCCCACCACCUAAAGUUGGACGGGCUGCAGCAGUCUUCUAAAGUC